UGCCUAGGAGGUUUUAGGUUAUUUCGCUCAAAACGAUGUCGUUUUGAGUGAAAUAACCCAUUUAAAAAACAAAGGGAUCAAUAGCUAAUCGACCGACUAGGUGACCUAGUCGGUGCCUAGACGGCUUAAUCAGUGCUUAGGAGGCCU